CAAGUACUCCCUCCGUCCGAAAAUACUUGUCAUCAAAAUGGAUAAAAAAAGAUGUAUCUAGAACUAAUAUACAUCUAGAUACAUCCCCUUUUAUUCAUUUUGAUGACAAGUAUUUCCGGACGGAGGGAGUACUAC
rnacentral:pre_miRNA from 1 species